rnacentral:rRNA from 1 species
GACGAACGCUGGCGGCGUGCCUAAUACAUGCAAGUAGAACGCUGAAGGAAGGAGCUUGCUCUUUCCGGAUGAGUUGCGAACGGGUGAGUAACGCGUAGGUAACCUGCCUGGUAGCGGGGGAUAACUAUUGGAAACGAUAGCUAAUACCGCAUAACAGUAGAUGUUGCAUGAUAUCUACUUAAAAGGUGCAAUUGCACCACUACCAGAUGGACCUGCGUUGUAUUAGCUAGUUGGUGAGGUAACGGCUCACCAAGGCGACGAUACUUAGCCGACCUGAGAGGGUGGUCGGCCACACUGGGACUGAGACACGGCCCAGACUCCUACGGGAGGCAGCAGUAGGGAAUCUUCGGCAAUGGACGGAAGUCUGACCGAGCAACGCCGCGUGAGUGAAGAAGGUUUUCGGAUCGUAAAGCUCUGUUGUAAGGGAAGAACGAGUGUGAGAGUGGAAAGUUCACACUGUGACGGUAUCUUACCAGAAAGGGACGGCUAACUACGUG